CGUUGAAACACAGGCACUCAUACGAUCAUCGAAGUUAAGCAACGUCGAGCCUGCUCAGUACCUGGAUGGGUGACCGCAAGGGAAUACCAGCUGCUGUAA